UGGGGAAUAUUGCACAAUGGGCGCAAGCCUGAUGCAGCCAUGCCGCGUGUAUGAAGAAGGCCUUCGGGUUGUAAAGUACUUUCAGCGGGGAGGAAGGGAGUAAAGUUAAUACCUUUGCUCAUUGACGUUACCCGCAGAAGAAGCACCGGCUAACUCCGUGCCAGCAGCCGCGGUAAUACGGAGGGUGCAAGCGUUAAUCGGAAUUACUGGGCGUAAAGCGCACGCAGGCGGUUUGUUAAGUCAGAUGUGAAAUCCUCGGGCUCAACCUGGGAACUGCAUCUGAUACUGGCAAGCUUGAGUCUCGUAGAGGGGGGUAGAAUUCCAGGUGUAGCGGUGAAAUGCGUAGAGAUCUGGAGGAAUACCGGUGGCGAAGGCGGCCCCCUGGACGAAGACUGACGCUCAGGUGUGAAAGCGUGGGGAGCAAACAGG
rnacentral:rRNA from 1 species